UGGGGAAUUUUGGACAAUGGGCGCAAGCCUGAUCCAGCCAUGCCGCGUGCGGGAAGAAGGCCUUCGGGUUGUAAACCGCUUUUGUCAGGGAAGAAAUCUUCUGAGUUAAUACCUCGGGAGGAUGACGGUACCUGAAGAAUAAGCACCGGCUAACUACGUGCCAGCAGCCGCGGUAAUACGUAGGGUGCAAGCGUUAAUCGGAAUUACUGGGCGUAAAGCGUGCGCAGGCGGUUUUGUAAGACAGAGGUGAAAUCCCCGGGCUCAACCUGGGAACUGCCUUUGUGACUGCAAGGCUUGAGUGCGGCAGAGGGGGAUGGAAUUCCGCGUGUAGCAGUGAAAUGCGUAGAUAUGCGGAGGAACACCGAUGGCGAAGGCAAUCCCCUGGGCCUGCACUGACGCUCAUGCACGAAAGCGUGGGGAGCAAACAGGAUUAGAUAGCCCUGGUAGUCCACGCCCUAAACGAUGUCAACUGGUUGUUGGGAAGGUUCCUUCUCAGUAACGUAGCUAACGCGUGAAGUUGACCGCCUGGGGAGUACGGCCGCAAGGUUGAAACUCAAAGGAAUUGACGGGGUCAUAGC
rnacentral:rRNA from 1 species